GUGUCUUGGCUAAUGUGUCUUGGCUAAGGUGUCUUGGCUAAGGUGUCUCGGCUAAUGUGUCUUGGCUAAUGUGUCUUGGCUAAGGUGUCUUGGCUAAGGUGUCUUGGCUAAUGUGUCUUGGCUAAUGUGUCUUGGCUAAUGUGUCUUGGCUAAUGUGUCUUGGCUAAGGUGUCUUGGCUAAUAUGUCUUGGCUAAGGUGUCUUGGCUAAUGUGUCUUGGCUAAUGUGUCUCGGCUAAUGUGUCUUGGCUAAUGUGUCUUGGCUAAGGUGUCUUGGCUAAGGUGUCUUGGCUAAGGUGUCUCGGCUAAUGUGUCUUGGCUAAUGUGUCUUGGCUAAGGUGUCUUGGCUAAGGUGUCUUGGCUAAGGUGUCUUGGCUUAGGUGUCUUGGCUAAUGUGUCUUGGCUAAGGUGUCUUGGCUAAGGUGUCUUGGCUAAGGUGUGUUGGCUAAUGUGUCUUGGCUAAGGUGUCUUGGCUAAUGUGUCUUGGCUAAGGUGUCUUGGCUAAGGUAUCUUGGCUAAUGUGUCUUGGCUAAGGUGUCUUGGCUAAGGUGUCUUGGCUAAUGUGUCUUGGCUAAUGUGUCUUGGCUAAUGUGUCUUGGCUAAGGUGUCUUGGCUAAUGUGUUUUGGCUAAGGUGUCUUGGCUAAGGUGUCUUGGCUAAUAUGUCUCGGCUAAUGUGUCUUGGCUAAUGUAUCUUGGCUAAGGUGUCUUGGCUAAUGUGUCUUGGCUAAUGUGUCUCGGCUAAUGUGUCUUGGCUAAGGUGUCUUGGCUAAGGUGUCUUGGCUAAGGUGUCUUGGCUAAGGUGUCUUGGCUAAUGUGUCUUGGCUAAGGUGUCUUGGCUAAGGUGUCUUGGCUAAGGUGUCUUGGCUAAUGUGUCUUGGCUAAUGUGUCUCGGCUAAUGUGUCUUGGCUAAUGUGUCUUGGCUAAGGUGUCUUGGCUAAGGUGUCUUGGCUAAUGCGUCUUGGCUAAUGUGUCUUGGCUAAUGUGUCUUGGCUAAUGUGUCUCGGCUAAUGUGUCUUGGCUAAUGUGUCUUGGCUAAGGUGUCUUGGCUAAGGUGUCCUGGCUAAUGUGUCUUGGCUAAGGUGUCUUGGCUAAGGUGUCUUGGCUAAUGUGUCUCGGAUAAUGUGUCUUGGCUAAGGUGUCUUGGCUAAGGUGUCUUGGCUAAGGUGUCUUGGCUAAUGUGUCUUGGCUAAGGUGUCUUGGCUAAGGUGUCUUGGCUAAUGUGUCUUGGCUAAGGUGUCUUGGCUUAUGUGUCUCGGCUAAUGUGUCUUGACUAAUGUGUCUUGGCUAAGGUGUCUUGGCUAAGGUGUCUUGGCUAAGGUGUCUUGGCUAAGGUGUCUUGGCUAAGGUGUCUUGGCUAAUGUGUCUUGGCUAAGGUGUCUCGGCUAAUGUGUCUUGGCUAAUGUGUCUUGGCUAAGGUGUCUUGUCUAAUGUGUCUUGGCUAAUGUGUCUUGGCUAAGGUGUCUUGGCUAAGGUGUCUUGGCUAAUGUGUCUCGGCUAAUGUGUCUUGGCUAAUGUGUCUUGGCUAAGGUGUCUUGGCUAAUGUGUCUUGGCUAAGGUGUCUCGGCUAAUGUGUCUUGGCUAAUGUGUCUUGGCUAAGGUGUCUCGGCUAAUGUGUCUUGGCUAAUGUGUCUUGGCUAAGGUGUCUUGGCUAAGGUGUCUUGGCUAAGGUGUCUCGGCUAAUGUGUCUUGGCUAAGGUGUCUUGGCUAAUGUGUCUUGGCUAAGGUGUCUUGUCUAAUGUGUCUUGGCUAAUGUGUCUUGGCUAAGGUGUCUUGGCUAAGGUGUCUUGGCUAAUGUGUCUCGGCUAAUGUGUCUUGGCUAAUGUGUCUUGGCUAAGGUGUCUUGGCUAAUGUGUCUUGGCUAAGGUGUCUCGGCUAAUGUGUCUUGGCUAAUGUGUCUUGGCUAAGGUGUCUCGGCUAAUGUGUCUUGGCUAAUGUGUCUUGGCUAAGGUGUCUUGGCUAAGGUGUCUUGGCUAAGGUGUCUCGGCUAAUGUGUCUUGGCUAAGGUGUCUUGGCUAAUGUGUCUUGGCUUAGGUGUCUUGGCUAAUGUGUCUUGGCUAAGGU